rnacentral:rRNA from 1 species
GACGAACGCUGGCGGCGUGCUUAACACAUGCAAGUCGUACGGUAAGGCCCUUUCGGGGGUACACGAGUGGCGAACGGGUGAGUAACACGUGAGUAACCUGCCCACAACUUUGGGAUAACGCUAGGAAACUGGUGCUAAUACUGGAUAUGUGCUCCUGCUGCAUGGUGGGGGUUGGAAAGCUCCGGCGGUUGUGGAUGGACUCGCGGCCUAUCAGCUUGUUGGUGGGGUAGUGGCCUACCAAGGCGGCGACGGGUAGCCGGCCUGAGAGGGUGACCGGCCACAUUGGGACUGAGAUACGGCCCAGACUCCUACGGGAGGCAGCAGUGGGGAAUAUUGCACAAGGGGCGCAAGCCUGAUGCAGCAACGCCGCGUGCGGGAUAACGGCCUUCGGGUUGUAAACCGCUUUCAGCAGGGACGAAGCUUUUUGUGACGGUACCUGCAGAAGAAGCACCGGCUAACUACGUG